GGGAUAACAAUGGGAAACUAUCGCUAAUACCGCAUGAAACCCGAGGGUCAAAGGCGCAAGUCGCCUGGAGAGGAGCCCGCGUACGAUCAGCUUGUUGGUGGGGUAAUGGCCCACCAAGGCUGCAAUCGUUAGCUGGUCUGAGAGGAUGAUCAGACACACUGGGACUGAGACACGGCCCAGACUCCUACGGGAGGCAGCAGUGGGGAAUAUUGGACAAUGGGCGCAAGCCUGAUCCGGCAAUGCCGUGUGAGUGAAGAAGGUCUUCGGAUUGUAAAGCUCUUUCGACGGGGACGAUGAUGACGGCACCCGUAGAAGAAGCCCCGGCUAACUUCGUGCCAGCAGCCGCGGUAAUACGAAAGGGGCUAGCGUUGCUCGGAAUGACUGGACGUAAAGGGCGCGUAGGC
rnacentral:rRNA from 1 species